GUGAGGAAUAUUGCGCAAUGGAGGCAACUCUGACGCAGCCAUGCCGCGUGCAGGAAGAAGGCGCUACGCGUUGUAAACUGCUUUUAACCGGGAAGAAACCCCAGGACGUGUCCUGGGUUGACGGUACCGGAGGAAUAAGCACCGGCUAACUUCGUGCCAGCAGCCGCGGUAAUACGAAUGGUGCAAGCGUUAUCCGGAUUCAUUGGGUUUAAAGGGUGCGUAGGCGGAGCGUUAAGUCAGUGGUGAAAUCCUGCAGCUUAACUGUAGACUUGCCAUUGAUACUGGCGCUCUUGAGUGCGCUUGAAGUGGGCGGAAUGUGCCGUGUAGCGGUGAAAUGCUUAGAUAUGGCACAGAACACCAAUUGCGAAGGCAGCUCACUAAGGCGAUACUGACGCUGAGGCACGAAAGCGUGGGGAUCGAACAGGAUUAGAAACCCGUGUAGUCC
rnacentral:rRNA from 1 species